rnacentral:rRNA from 1 species
CCAAGCUACUAAGAGCACACGGUGAAUGCCUUGGCACCAAGAGGCGAAGAAGGACGUAGGUAGCUGCGAAAAGCGUCGGCGAGCCGCUACACAGGCUUUGACCCGGCGAUUUCCGAAUGGGGAAACCCGUGCCGGAGAACCCGGCCAUCCUGCGCUGAAUACAUAGGCGUAUGGGGGCGAACCCGGGGAACUGAAACAUCUCAGUACCCGGAGGAACAGAAAUCAACCGAGAUUCCCCGAGUAGCGGCGAGCGAAAGGGGACGAGCCUAAACCCGCGUUGUGUAAGGCUGCAACCGUUGCAGCGUGGGGGUCGUGGGACCAUCAGAGUGAGAUUGCAGACUCACUGCGGAGUAAGAAAUCGACGUGUCUGGCGAAAUGUGCUGGAAAGCGCAGCCAGAGAGGGUGAAAGCCCCGUACGUGAAGGACCGUCGACUCCGAGAUGGCACCCGAGUACCGCGGAACACGAGAAACUCCGUGGGAAUCAGGGGGGACCACCCUCCAAGGCUAAAUACUCCUUGGUGACCGAUAGUGGACAAGUACCGCGAGGGAAAGGUGAAAAGCACCCCUAAGAGGGGAGUGAAACAGACCCUGAAACCGUGUGCUUACAAGCAGUUGGAGCCCUAUGCCUUCGGGCAGGGUGACAGCGUGCCUUUUGCAUAAUGAGCCUACGAGUUGUCCUCAGUGGCGAGGUUAAGCCGAGAGAGGCGUAGCCGAAGCGAAAGCGAGUCUUAAAUGGGCGUCGAGUCGCUGGGGGCAGACCCGAAACCGAGCGAUCUAUCCAUGGCCAGGUUGAAGCGCGAGUAAAAUCGCGUGGAGGACCGAACCCACCAAGGUUGAAAACUUGGGGGAUGAGCUGUGGAUAGGGGUGAAAGGCCAAUCAAGCUCGGAAAUAGCUGGUUCUCCCCGAAAUAUAUUUAGGUAUAGCCUCGCAUGUUUUCCGACGGAGGUAGAGCACUGGAUGGGUUAGGGGCCCCACCGGGUUACCGACCCCAACCAAACUCCGAAUGCCGUCGAGAAUAAUGCGGGAGUCAGACUGCGGGAGAUAACUUUCGUAGUCGAGAGGGAAACAACCCAGACCGCCGGCUAAGGUCCCGAAUUUCGUGCUAAGUGGGAAAGGAUGUGGGAGCACACUGACAACCAGGAGGUUGGCUUAGAAGCAGCCAUCCUUCAAAGAAAGCGUAAUAGCUCACUGGUCAAGUGAACCCGCGCCGAAAAUGUAACGGGGCUCAAGCACGAAACCGAAGCCGCGGACACGUGACACUCUCGAGUGUUGCGAGUGGUAGGGGAGUAUUCCAAAUGCGCUGAAGGUCGACGGAAACGACGGCUGGAGCGUUUGGAAGAGCUUAUGUAGGCAUGAGUAGCGAUAAAACAGGUGAGAAACCUGUUCGCCGUAAACCCGAGGUUUCCUGGGCCAGGUUAAUCCUCCCAGGGUUAGUCGGACCCUAAGCCGAGGCCGAAAGGCGUAGGCGAUGGAAAGCAGGUUAAUAUUCCUGCACCGGCGAAUGUUUGGUGAAGCUAGAGGGGACGGAGAAGGGUAGACCGGCCACCGCGUGGUAGUGGUGGUUCAAGCCAGUAGACGGUCGUUCUUGGACGCGCAGGCGACAAACGGAACGAUAUCUAACGUCGAGAGGUGAUGAGGCGCUGGUUUCUUCGAGAAACCGGCGAAACCGGUUGAGCCCACGCUCCCGAGAAAAGCCUCGAGUGGAGAGCAUUCGGCGACCGUACCGCAAACCGACACAGGUGGGUGGGGAGAGUAUCCCAAGGCGCUUGAGAGAACCCUGGUUAAGGAACUCGGCAAAUUGACACCGUAACUUUGGGAGAAGGUGUGCCCCCAUGUACGUGAAGCGGCUUGCCCGUGGAGCGGAGGGGGGUUGCAGAGAAAUGGCGGUAGCGACUGUUUACUAAAAACACAGGACUCUGCAAAGUCGCAAGACGAAGUAUAGGGUCUGACGCCUGCCCGGUGCCGGAAGGUUAAGAGGAGCUGUUAGCGUAAGCAAAGCGGUGAAUCGAAGCCCCGGUAAACGGCGGCCGUAACAAUAACGGUCCUAAGGUAGCGAAAUUCCUUGUCGGGUAAGUUCCGACCUGCACGAAUGGCGUAACGAUGGCCACACUGUCUCCUCCUGGGACUCAGCGAAGUUGAAAUGAUUGUGAAGAUGCAAUCUACCCGCGGCUAGACGGAAAGACCCCGUGCACCUUUACUACAACUUCACACUGGCAUCAGGCACAAUAUGUGC